GAAAUGCGAUAAGUAAUGUGAAUUGCAGAAUUCAGUGAACCAUCGAAUCUUUGAACGCACAUUGCGCCCGCCAGUACUCUGGCGGGCAUGCCUGUUCGAGCGUCAUUACAACCCUCAAGCCCCCGGGCUUGGCGUUGGGGAUCGGCACAAGGCGGAGGGCCCCCUCGGGAGCCCCCCGGCCCGCCGUCCCCCAAAUCCAGUGGCGGUCACGUCGCGGCCUCCUAUGCGUAGUAGCAACACCUCGCAAUGGAACCCGUCGUGCCCACGCCGUAAAACCCCCGACUUUUACAAGUUGACCUCGAAUCAGGUAGGACUACCCGCUGAACUUAA
rnacentral:misc_RNA from 1 species